CACAAGAUCAUCCUGGUGAACGUUGAGUCAAUACUUAUCGAAUUAUGGCAGAUGACUUAUCCAGCUUUUGGGGUCCUGUCACAUCCAAAGAUUGGUGUGAGCAAAAUUAUGUCUACUCUUCUUUCAUUGCCGAGUUCUUCAACACUAUAUCGAAUAUCUCAGGCAUCUUGUUGGCACUCAUUAGCCUUAUCAAUGCUUUGAGGCAACGUUUUGAGAAGAGAUUUAGCGUUCUUCACAUCUCCAAUAUGAUACUUGCUAUUAGGAGCAUGCUUUACCAUGCCACUUUGCAACGUCUGCAGUAGCAAGGUGAUGAAACACCAAUGGUAUGGGAAAUGCUUUUAUAUAUCUACAUCCUUUACUCACCGGAUUGGCAUUAUCGUAGCACAAUGCCCACCUUCUUGUUUCUAUAUGGUGCUGUAUUUGCUGUAUUCCAUUCUCAUGUACGAUUUAGAAUUGGCUUUAAGGUACACUAUGUGAUACUCUGUCUUCUCUGCAUUCCUCGAAUGUACAAGUACUACAUCCACACAAAAUAUGUAAAUGUCAAGUGGCUUGCAAAGUUGUAUCUGGGCACCAUAUCCCUAGGGAUUCUUUGUUAGCUUUUGGAUCACGUCUUGUGCAGGGAAGUCUGUGGAUGGUACUUUAACCCACAAGGUCAUGCUUUGUGGUACGUCUUUAUGGGGUUUAAUUCUUAUUUUGCAAACACAUUUUUAAUGUUCUGUUGUGCUGAGCAAUUGGGAUGGAAUCCAGCAGUAGUCAACUUUAUGGGGUUCUUCCCUUAUGUGAAGAUUUAAAAACCAAAGACUCAGUGA